rnacentral:rRNA from 2 species
AAACUAGAUAUGACUUAGUGGCGGACGGGUGAGUAACACGUGAGCAACCUGCCUUUCAGAGGGGGAUAACGGCUGGAAACGACUGCUAAUACCGCAUGACACAUAGAGAUCGCAUGGUUUUAUGUCAAAGAUUUAUCGCUGAAAGAUGGCCUCGCGUCUGAUUAGCUAGUUGGUGAGGUAACGGCCCACCAAGGCGACGAUCAGUAGCCGGACUGAGAGGUUGACCGGCCACAUUGGGACUGAGAUACGGCCCAGACUCC